GGGGAUAUAGCUCAGUGGUAGAGGACAUGCUUAGCGUGCACGAGGUCCUGGGUUCCAUCCCUAGUACCUCCG
rnacentral:tRNA from 1 species